rnacentral:rRNA from 1 species
GUUGGCCUCGGAUCAGGUGGGGAUACCCGCUGAACUUAAGCAUAUCAAUAAGCGGAGGAAAAGAAACCAACAGGGAUUGCCUCAGUAACGGCGAGUGAAGCGGCAACAGCUCAAAUUUGAAAUCUGGCGCAAGCCCGAGUUGUAAUUUGUAGAGGAUGUUUCGGGUGAAGCCACGGUCCAAGUCCCUUGGAACAGGACGUCAUAGAGGGUGAGAACCCCGUACCUGGCCGUCGGUGCCCCCCGCUGUGAAACUCCUUCGACGAGUCGAGUUGUUUGGGAAUGCAGCUCUAAAUUGGUGGUAAAUUCCAUCUAAAGCUAAAUACCGGCCAGAGACCGAUAGCGCACAAGUAGAGUGAUCGAAAGAUGAAAAGCACUUUGAAAAGAGAGUUAAAAAGUACGUGAAAUUGUUGAAAGGGAAGCGCUUGCGGCCAGACUUGCCCGCGGUUGCUCAGCCCGCCUUUUGGCGGGUGCACUCUUCCGCGGUCAGGCCAGCAUCGGUUUGGGCGGCCGGAUAAAGGCGUGGGGAACGUGGCCUCCCUUCGGGGAGGUGUUAUAGCCCCGCGCGCAAUGCGACCAGCCCGGACCGAGGUUCGCGCUUUGCUAGGAUGCUGGCGUAAUGGCCGUAAGCGGCCCGUCUUGAAACACGGACCAAGGAGUCUAACAUCUAUGCGAGUGUUUGGGUGUCAAACCCGUGCGCGUAAUGAAAGUGAACGGAGGUGGGAACCGCAAGGUGCACCAUCGACCGAUCCUGAUGUCUUCGGAAGGAUUUGAGUAAGAGCAUAGCUGUUGGGACCCGAAAGAUGGUGAACUAUGCGUGAAUAGGGUGAAGCCAGAGGAAACUCUGGUGGAGGCUCGCAGCGGUUCUGACGUGCAAAUCGAUCGUCAAAUUUGCGUAUAGGGGCGAAAGACUAAUCG